AUGCAUGCUGUACAAGAUACUGUAGAGCAACAUUAUAUUGUUUGAGUACUGAAUAGAUAAUUCAAGGUGCACAGCCAUUAAUUUUGCCCUCCACCAUCUCCGAUUUUGGUUAGACAGUUGCAAGUUACUUGCAUUAGUAUGAAGUCUUAAAAUAACUUAAGUAUAAUUGCUGUUGUGUUAUUAUUAACCUUUUCCUGCUCUGAGGAAAUUUUAAAGUUUCUACAUGCAAACAUCAUAAAACCAGAACAGCCUGCAAGUAACUCACAAUCUGUUCAGGUUUUAUGCUGUUUGCUGCUCAUCAGUAUCCAUGGGUUGGAAACAAAGCCUUUAAAACUUUAAUAUAGUAAGAAAGGUGUUAAAUUAAAUUUAUUCUCGAAUGUGUCUUAGUGCGUUUUUGAGUGGUACAGGGUUAAAUGUCUCAUUUUGUUUUUGAUUAUCUUUGGUUUAUUGAACAUAUAUGAGCCUU